rnacentral:rRNA from 1 species
GAGCGCCGUAGCAAUACGGCAGCGGCAGACGGGAGAGUAACACGUGGGAACGCGCCCUUCGGUUCGGAAUAACUCAGGGAAACUUGGGCUAAUACCGGAUACGCCCUUACGGGGAAAGAUUUAUUGCCGAAGGAACGGCCCGCGUCCGAUUAGCUUGUUGGUGAGGUAACGGCUCACCAAGGCGACGAUCGGUAGCUGGUCUGAGAGGAUGACCAGCCUCACUGGGACUGAGACACGGCCCAGACUCCUACGGGAGGCAGCAGUGGGGAAUAUUGGACAAUGGGCGCAAGCCUGAUCCAGCCAUGCCGCGUGAGUGAUGAAGGCCCUAGGGUUGUAAAGCUCUUUCAGCGGGGAAGAUAAUGACGGUACCCGCAGAAGAAGCCCCGGCUAACUUCGUG